rnacentral:rRNA from 1 species
GAUGAACGCUAGCGACAGGCCUAACACAUGCAAGUCGAGGGGCAGCACAAGGAUAGCAAUAUUCUGGUGGCGACCGGCGCACGGGUGAGUAACACGUAUGCAACCUACCUGUAAGAGGGGAAUAACCCGGAGAAAUUCGGACUAACACCGCAUAAUACUGUUGAACUGCAUGGUUUAACAGUUAAAUAUUUAUAGCUUACAGAUGGGCAUGCGUAUGAUUAGAUAGUUGGUAGGGUAACGGCCUACCAAGUCAACGAUCAUUAGGGGUUCUGAGAGGAAGGUCCCCCACAUUGGAACUGAGACACGGUCCAAACUCCUACGGGAGGCAGCAGUGAGGAAUAUUGGUCAAUGGGCGCAAGCCUGAACCAGCCAUCCCGCGUGCAGGAUGAAGGCCCUAUGGGUCGUAAACUGCUUUUAUACGCCAAGAAAAACACAGACGAGUCUGUGCCUGACGGUAGUGUAUGAAUAAGCAUCGGCUAACUCCGUGCCAGCAGCCGCGGUAAUACGGAGGAUGCAAGCGUUAUCCGGAUUCAUUGGGUUUAAAGGGUGCGUAGGCGGCUCUUUAAGUCAGUGGUGAAAUCCUGCCGCUUAACGGUAGAAUUGCCAUUGAUACUGAAGAGCUUGAGUACAGUUGAGGUAAGCGGAAUGUGUAGUGUAGCGGUGAAAUGCUUAGAUAUUACACAGAACACCGAUUGCGAAGGCAGCUUACUAAACUGUUACUGACGCUGAUGCACGAAAGCGUGGGGAGCGAACAGUAUUAGAUACCCUGGUAGUCCACGCCGUAAACGAUGCUCACUCGCUGUAUGCGAUACACAGUAUGCGGCCAAGCGAAAGCAUUAAGUGAGCCACCUGGGGAGUACGAUCGCAAGGUUG